UACCCGCAGCACAAGUGGUGGUCAUUAUUAUUGGGCCUAAAGCGUCCGUAGCUGGCUUGUUAGAUGCCUGGGUAACUCGAUGCGCUUAACGCAUCGAAUUCCGGGUAGACCGGCAAGCUCGAGACCGGGAGAGGUGUAGGCUACUCAAGGGGUAGGGGUAAAAUCCUGUAAUCCGUCGGGGAGGACCAGUGGCGAAGGCGCUACACUAGAACGGCUCUGACAGUGAGGGACGAAGCCCUGGGGCGCAAACCGG
rnacentral:rRNA from 1 species